GACGAACGCUGGCGGCGUGCUUAACACAUGCAAGUCGAGCGGUAAGGCCCUUUCGGGGGUACACGAGCGGCGAACGGGUGAGUAACACGUGGGUGACCUGCCCUCAGCUCUGGGAUAAGCCUGGGAAACUAGGGUCUAAUACUGGAUAUGACUCCACGGUGCAUGUCGUGGGGUGGAAAGCCUUGUGCGGCUGAGGAUGGGCCCGCGGCCUAUCAGCUUGUUGGUGGGGUGANGGCCUACCAAGGCGACGACGGGUAGCCGGCC
rnacentral:rRNA from 1 species